rnacentral:lncRNA from 1 species
UUUACUUUUGUAAAAUUCUGUAGAUUUUUUAAAAUAUUUAUUUUGUCGUUCUUGCUUUUGUUUCGUUGCAUUGCUAAUUACAUACAUGAUUGCUUUGAUUUGUAAGGUAGUAGUAGCUAAUAAAUAUACACAAGUGUAUAAAUGAAUCUUAAUGUCCAUCGCUGAAGAUAGAGAUUAGAUACUGCUUCCCGAUAGCCCGGUGUCAAUUAUUUAAUGAAAAAUUGCCAAA